rnacentral:rRNA from 1 species
AGCGAACGCUGGCGGCAGGCCUAACACAUGCAAGUCGAACGAACCUUUCGGGGUUAGUGGCGGACGGGUGAGUAACACGUGGGAACGUGCCUUUAGGUUCGGAAUAACUCAGGGAAACUUGUGCUAAUACCGAAUGUGCCCUUCGGGGGAAAGAUUUAUCGCCUUUAGAGCGGCCCGCGUCUGAUUAGCUAGUUGGUUGAGGUAAUGGCUCACCAAGGCGACGAUCAGUAGCUGGUCUGAGAGGAUGAUCAGCCACAUUGGGACUGAGACACGGCCCAAACUCCUACGGGAGGCAGCGGUGGGGAAUCUUGGGCAAGGGGCGAAAGCCUGACGCAGCCAGGCCGGGUGAAUGAUGAAGGUCUUAGGAUUGAAAAAUUUUUUCACCGGGGACGAUAAGGACGGUACCCGGAGAAGAAGCCCCGGUAACCUUCGU